rnacentral:lncRNA from 1 species
UACGCACAAACCAAUACACAUCUACCUGACAUACUCAUAUACAUACAUGCACAUAUGCACAAACCAAUACUCAUCUACCCAACACACACACACGAACAUACAAACUGAAACACAUCUACCUGACACACGCACUCAUACACACACACUUAUACACACAAACCAAUACACAUCUACCCGACACACACACUCAUACACACACACGGGUACAUACAAACUGAUACACAGCUACCCGACAUACACACUCAUACACACACACGAACAUACAAACCAAUACACAUCUACCCGACAUACACACUCAUACACACAUGCACAUACACACAAACCGAUACACAUCUACCCGACACACACUCAUACACACAUGCAAAUAUGCACAGAUACACAUCUACCCAACACACACUCAUAUACACACACAUGCGUAUGCAGAUACACACACAUCUACCCAACAUACACACUCAUACACACACACACCUACCCAACAUACACUCAUAUACACACACAUACAAACGUGUGGGUGUGUGUACAUCCAGGCAGACACGUCCUUCUCUUUGAAACACCAAUUCUAUCACUUGAAGAAAACACAACACUUGUACAAAGCAAAGCAUCAAAUGUCAGAUUCAUUAACGGGGUGACCUGAGAACGGGCCAGCCACUUGUGCCUUGCUGGGCCCGUGAUGUCUGAAUUCUGAGACUCGUUAAGUUCAGAUCGACAUGAGGGCGG